rnacentral:tRNA from 1 species
GCGCCUGUAGCUCAGGGGAUAGAGCAACUGCCUUCUAAGCAGUGGGUCAGAGGUUCAAAUCCUCUCAGGCGCG